rnacentral:lncRNA from 1 species
CUAGGCAAACUAGGAUUCCUUUCCCUGAUAGUUCCAUCAGUGCAAGCAGACCCUUCCAAUUAAUGCAUGUAGAUACUUGGGCCCUUACCACACACCAACCUCCUCUGGAUCAAGAUACUUCCUUACAAUAGUUGAUGAUUUUUCUAGGGUAACCUGGACAAAUCUACUGGGAUCUAAGAGCAAUGCCUUUUGCAUGACUAAGUCCUUUCUGUCCAUGGUUAAAACUUAAUUUGGUGUUACUGUCCAAACAAUAAGAAGUGAUAAUGCCUUGGAAUUAGGGUCCAGCCUUGAAGGGGCUUCUUUCUUCAAUCAACGGGGUAUUAUUCAUCAAACCACUUGUCCCCACAGUCCUCAACAAAAUGGUGUUGUUGAAAGAAACACAUAACACUACUUGAAGCUUGUAGAGCUUUACUUUUUCUGUCCAAACUGCCUGUAUCAUUCUGGGGGGACUGUUUAUUAACUGCCACAUACCUGCUUAAUAGGAUACCCUCCAGUAUUCUUCAAAAUAAAUCUCCUUAUGAAGUGCUAUAUGGUAAGACUCCCAAUUACUCACAUUUGAGGGCAUUUGGUUGUCUUGCUUAUGCUAUUGUCCCUAUUACACAAAGAGAUAAACUAAAACCUAGGGCACUUUCAUGUGUUUUUCCAGGAUAUCCUUUUGUUAAAAAGGGUUACAAGUUGUACUAUCUAGUUUCCAAUAAUGUUUUGUGUCCAGGGAUAUUGUGUUUCAUGAGACUUGUUUUCCUUUUGCAUCUAAUUCUGAUAUUCCCUCUGGUCCAUCUAUAUUUUCUUUUCCACCUCCUAUUGUACACCAAGAUUCUGGAACACACAUCUCUCUCCCAGCUUGUUCACCUGUUCCCUCUCCUUCUGCAUCUUUUCCUUCUAGUUCCAGCCAUGGUCCUUCUUUUCUUUUUGACUCAACACAUUCUGAACCUCUUCCUCCUGCAUCCUUCAAUCAUGAUAUUCCAGAACCUCCUUCUGUUUCUUCCCCUACACAACCUCAUAUCCAUCUGAACCUCUUCCUCCUGCAUCCUUCAAUCAUGAUAUUCCAGAACCUCCUCCUGUUUCUUCCCUACACAACCUCCUAUCCAGAGAAGAUCUGGAAGACAACACACCACUCCUUCUUAUCUCAAAGACUAUGAGUGUCACUUACCUUCCUUUUCUGGAUCUUCUUCCUCUAUUUUCAGUCUGCAAUCUGAACCUCUUUAUUAUUCUCAAGCUGCCUCAGUUCCAGCUUUGCAGGAUGCCAUGAGAAAGGAGUUUUAUGCAUUGGAUGCCAA